rnacentral:rRNA from 1 species
GUCUGUAUGAGAAUAAUAUAAAUAAUAUACAGUCUGACCUGCUCACUGAACUUACAAGUUUUAAGAGCCGCAGUAUUUUGACUGUGCAAAGGUAGCGUAAUCAUUAGCUUCUUAAUUAGAAACUGGUAUGAAUGGUUAAACAAAAAAACUACUGUCUCUUCUCUAAUUAUUGAAUUUAACUUUUAAGUGAAAAGGCUCAAAUUUUUUAAAGGGACGAUAAGACCCUAUAAAGUUUAUAUAAAAAAAUAAGAUUUUAAAGAAUUAAGUUAUAAAUGUGAAGAUUAUGUUUAUAUUUUGUUGGGGCGAUACAGAUAUAAAUUUGCGCUAACUGUCAGCUUGAAAAACGUCUAUAAACGAAUAUUUGAUGAUCCUAUGGUUUAGAUUACAAGACGAAGUUACUUUAGGGAUAACAGCAUAAUUCUUUUUAAGAGUCCUUAUCGAAAAAAGAGAUUGUGACCUCGAUGUUGAAUUAAAAGUCUUUACAAAGCAGCUUUUGUAAGAAGAAGGUCUGUUCGACCUUUAAAUUUUUACAUG